UCUCUGUAUCUCCAUGUAAUUGAUAACAUCCCUGGGCUGUAUUUUGGUCUGUGCAGGGACUCAUCACACUGACAUUGGCAUUGCUUCCAGUUGGGUAUUUGUAGAGACAACUGAUCUCUCCAGUGUAACUCUCCCAAGUGAGUCUUCCAACGCUGGUGUGUAUUUCAGCUUAAAUAUACAUCUCAGUUUGGAUGAGCCACGUUUCAAGUGCUGAGUAGUCACCUGUGACUCAUGGCUACUACUUUGGACAGCCCAUCUCCAGAGAGUCCAGCAGAAAGCCCAGGCCAGAAAAUUUUUAAUUGAGGAAAACUCUCCUUACAGAUGCUCAGAGGAAAUUCUGCUAAAUGGAUGCUAUCUGUUUGCUUCCAUCCAUAGAAGAUUUCUUCAACAACUAUCUUCAUGACUCCUUUGACUAUUUCCGCAAACUUAGAUGCAAGAUUGUACACCUCUUCAGUUUCUUUCUAAUCUAAUUAGUAAUAAAUAUAUCCAAUUAAAAAUCAUACUAAAAAUA